CCCACAUUCUUCAUCGGUUUUGCCCCAGUUUCACCUUCAGAUUCCAUUGGCACCUGCUCUUCUUUGCCAGAUGUGAACAAUGGAUAGAGAUGACGGUUUAAUCUUCAGUCUCAACAAUUUUUAUGCAUGCUUAAACUUAAACACACAAUGUUACAAAAAAGAUUCCCCCUUUACGCUUUGAAAGCAAUAGCGGUGGAAUCAGAGAUCGAUGAUAAAGAGAGAAGUGAUCCGAUUGAACUCCAACCCAGAUAGGCAAAGCAAUGCAGGCUAAACACCUACCCCUCUCUCUCUCUCUCUCUCUCUCU
rnacentral:misc_RNA from 1 species